UGGCGGCGUGCCUCAGACAUGCAAGUCGAACGAUUAAAGCUCUCUUCGGAGAGUGUAUAGAGUGGCGCACGGGUGAGUAACACGUAAGUAAUCUACCUUCGAGUGGGGAAUAACGUUCGGAAACGGACGCUAAUACCGCAUAAUGCAGCGGCAUCGCAAGAUGACAGUUGUUAAAGAUUUAUCGCUUGAAGAGGAGCUUGCGGCAGAUUAGCUUGUUGGUAAGGUAAUGGCUUACCAAGGCUACGAUCUGUAACCGGUCUAAGAGGACGGUCGGUCACACUGACACUGAAUAACGGGUCAGACUCYUACGGGAGGCAGCAGUCGGGAAUUUUGGGCAAUGGGCGAAAGCCUGACCCAGCAACGCCGCGUGAAGGAUGAAGUAUUUCGGUAUGUAAACUUCGAAAGAAUGGGAAGAAUCAAUGACGGUACCAUUUAUAAGGUCCGGCUAACUACGUGCCAGCAGCCGCGGUAAUACGUAGGGACCAAGCGUUGUUCGGAUUUACUGGGCGUAAAGGGCGCGUAGGCGGCGCGACAAGUCACUUGUGAAAUCUCCGGGCUUAACCCCGGAACGGCCAAGUGAAACUGUCGUGCUAGAGUGCGGAAGGGGCAAUCGGAAUUCUCGGUGUAGCGGUGAAAUGCGUAGAUAUCGAGAGGAACACCCUGAGGUGAAGACGGGUUGCUGGGCCGACACUGACGCUGAGUGCGCGAAAGCCAGGGGAGCAAACGGGAUUAGAUACCCCGGUAGUCCUGGCCCUAAACGAUGAAUACUUGGUGUCUGGAGUAAUUUGUGCUCCGGGU
rnacentral:rRNA from 1 species